GAUGAACGCUGGCGGCGCGCCUAACACAUGCAAGUCGAACGAUUAAAGCACCUUCGGGUGUGUAUAAAGUGGCGAACGGCUGAGUAACACGUGGGCAACCUGCCCCUUUCAUUGGGAUAGCCACGGGAAACCGUGGAUAAUACCGAAUACUUCGAGACUUCCGCAUGGAAGACUCGAGAAAGCUCCGGCGGAGAGGGAUGGGCCCGCGGCCUGUUAGCUUGUUGGUGGGGUAACGGCCUACCAAGGCAAUGAUGGGUAGCUGGGUUGAGAGACCGACCAGCCAGAUUGGGACUGAGACACGGCCCAGACUCCUACGGGAGGCAGCAGUGGGGAAUCUUGCACAAUGGGCGAAAGCCUGAUGCAGCGACGCCGCGUGCGGGAUGAAGGCCUUCGGGUUGUAAACCGCUUUCAGCAGGGACGAGGCGAAAGGGACGGUACCUGCAGAAGAAGCCCCGGCUAACUACGU
rnacentral:rRNA from 1 species